rnacentral:rRNA from 1 species
UACGUAGGGCGCAAGCGUUGUCCGGAAUUAUUGGGCGUAAAGGGCUCGUAGGCGGUUUGUCGCGUCGGGAGUGAAAUCAUCUGGCUUAACUGGGUGCUUGCUUUCGAUACGGGCAGACUAGAGGUAUGCAGGGGAGAACGGAAUUCCUGGUGUAGCGGUGAAAUGCGCAGAUAUCAGGAGGAACACCGGUGGCGAAGGCGGUUCUCUGGGCAUGAUCUGACGCUGAGGAGCGAAAGUGUGGGGAGCGAACAGG